UCGACGCUGCGCAACAGUACCUAACUGGGUUGUUGCCACAGUAAUCGACCGCCGCCUACUGUGGUGGAGUAAAAACUGACUCCGUCUGCCAAGUUAGGUCUAUGUCGUGAUAUCCAGGCGUCGUUGAAAGGAAAGAAAAAGGUUACCCUACCUUCAAUGACGACCAGCAAGAGCUCACGCUACAGUCUUUCACCCGAAGUUUGCAGCUGAAGCGGUUGAAGGAGCAUAUCAGCCUAAGCUCCCCAGCUCUCUGGUUGCGGGCCUGUCAUAUGUUCUUCUGGGCCGAAACACUGUGUGAGACAAGCUGAGCUGAGUGAGAGUGAGGAGGAGAUAGAGGUGACCUGCCAGGCAACAGCUAAACCCCCACAGCAUCCAAAGUGGAGUUCCUGGCGAGCUGCAAGCCAGUCAGAGGGAUGCUACCGGUAUGAGGAAGCUGGGCAUAUUGCAUGCCAUUGCCCAGUGUAAGCGCCAGCACCCUGCGAUCCUGCUCCUAACCCAGCGUCUAAGUUCCCUUGUGCCAGAACACCUGUGGUUUGGAUGGCUAGGCAAGGCUCACAGACUCUCUGUAGACUGCAUCCUGGAGGGCGUUCCAUGUCGAGUCUUGGUCGAUAUGGGGUCCACCAUUUACCUCGUCAGGCCCAGCACGCUACCUAGCACAGAUAAGUCAAGACCACUAGGCUGGCCAGUAACACACGUGGUGGACGUAUCCCGGGCGCAGCUCUGCCUGGGUGCUGAAACCGUGGCCCUUCACACCACUGUUGGAGCCAUCAACCAGAGUGGCUGCCCUUACCUAAACACCAGUCCAAAGAGCGUCGAAGCUGCCCAUUGAAGAGUAGCUGCCCAUAGCCCAACAAAUUCCUGUCCUGAGUCCUCAACUGGAACCACACCCACGAGAGAAGUGCCAAAUGUUCAGCAAGGUUGUUGUGUCAAGGAGCCUGCCCGCUGCAGUCUUCAACCAGGUUGUCAUCAGCAGAGAAUGGCCCGUAACAGUGCAUCAGCAGGGGAACAGAGAACUACAGCAUCAACGCCAAACACUGCAGG